rnacentral:rRNA from 1 species
AGUGAACGCUGGCGGCAGGCCUAACACAUGCAAGUCGAACGGCAGCACGGCAGUAGCAAUACUGUGGGUGGCGAGUGGCGGACGGGUGAGGAAUACAUCGGGAUCUACCCUGUUGUGGGGGAUAACGUAGGGAAACUUACGCUAAUACCGCAUAAGAACUGAGGUUGAAAGCGGCGGACCGCAAGGCGUCGCGCGAUUGGAUGAACCGAUGUCCGAUUAGCUAGUUGGCGGGGUAAAGGCCCACCAAGGCGACGAUCGGUAGCUGGUCUGAGAGGACGACCAGCCACACUGGAACUGAGACACGGUCCAGACUCCUACGGGAGGCAGCAGUGGGGAAUAUUGGACAAUGGGCGCAAGCCUGAUCCAGCCAUGCCGCGUGGGUGAAGAAGGCCUCGGUGUAAG